rnacentral:rRNA from 1 species
UACGGGGGGAGCAAGCGUUGUUCGGAUUUACUGGGCGUAAAGGGCGCGUAGGCGGCCUCUGCAAGUCGACUGUGAAAUCUCCGGGCUUAACCCGGAACGGUCAGCCGAUACUGCAGGGCUAGAGUGCAGAAGGGGCAACCGGGAAUUCUCGGUGUAGCGGUGAAAUGCGUAGAUAUCGAGAGGAACACCUGCGGCGAAGGCGGGUCGCUGGGCUGACACUGACGCUGAGGCGCGAAAGCUAGGGGAGCGAACGGG